UAGGCAGAAUCCGAAAAGCCAGAAAAAGAGUAGGAA
rnacentral:ncRNA from 1 species